GGAAGCGUGUCUGAGCGGUCGAAAGAGCAGGCCUCGAAAUCCUGUGUGGCGCAAGCCACCGCGGGUUCAAAUCCCGCCGCUUCCG
rnacentral:tRNA from 1 species